GUGCAGCAGUCGCGAAACCUCCGCAAUACACGAAAGUGUGACGGGCCAUCCCGAGUGCCGUCCGCUGAGGACGGGCUUUUCCCCAGUGUACAUAGCUGGGGGAAUAAGGAGAGGGCAAGCCUGGUGUCAGCCGCCGCGGUAAUACCAGCUCUCCGAGUGGUGGGGACGCUUAUUGGGCCUAAAGCAUCCGUAGCCGGCUGGGCAAGUCCUCCGUUAAAUCCAACGAUUCAAUCGUUGGGCUGCGGGGGAUACUGUCCAGCUUGGGGGGCGGGAGAGGCCGACGGUAUUCCCGGGGUAGGGGUGAAAUCCUAUAAUCCCGGGAGGACCACCAGUGGCGAAGGCUGUCGGCUAGAACGCGCCCGACGGUGAGGGAUGAAAGCUGGGGGGAGCGAACCGGAUUAGAU
rnacentral:rRNA from 1 species